rnacentral:misc_RNA from 1 species
AGAACAGUUUUGCCGCGAGAUGUAAACACAAAGCCGAGAAUGAAUAUGAACAAAAUAUAUCUAUAAAAGAUGAAUCUUGAACUUUUGGAAUCAUUUGGGCAGAAUUAUCCAGAAGAUUUUGAUGGCACUUUGGACUGUAUCAGUAUAGCCAUAACCUGUGCCUUCAAUCGACAAGGAACACUACUAGCCGUAGGCUGUAAUGAUGGAAGGAUAGUUAUUUGGGACUUCUUAACCCGAGGAAUCGCAAAGAUAAUCAGUGCCCAUGUCCAUCCUGUGUGUAGUUUAAGUUGGAGUCGAAAUGGUAAGAAGUUGCUGAGUGCAGCAACAGACAACACGGCCUCAAUAUGGGAUAUUGUUACGGCGGAGUGUGACAAAAGCUUCCGAUUCCCGUCUCCCAUCCUUAAAGUUCAAUUUCAUCCACGAGACAGUAAACAGUUUCUCGUUUGUCCGAUGAAACACCCUGCUGUUUUGAUGAACAUUAGUGGAGACCAUAGAGUUGUUCCACUUGAUGAUGAUUCUGAUCUGAACAUUGUUGCCUCCUACGACAGACGAGGGAAACACAUCUACACAGGAAAUGCAAAGGGCAGGAUCCUGGUGUUCACCAGUACAGACCUGGAGCUGAAGGCCUCGUUCAGAGUAACCACGGGAACCCUUAACACUACAGCCAUCAAAUCCAUUGAGUUCGCUAGGAGAGGGGAUUGUUUCUUAGUGAACUCAGCUGACCGUAUCAUUCGAGUUUACGAGAGUGGCGAGGUGUUGGCCUGUAGUAAAGACGGAGAGCCCGAGCCCAUCCAGAAAUUACAGGACCUUGUCAACAAGUUGCUGUGGAAGAAGUGUUGUUUCUCUGGAGAUGGGGAGUUCAUCGUGGCUGGGUCGGCCCGCCAGCACUCCCUGUACAUCUGGGAAAAAAGCGUUGGAAACCUGGUCAAGAUCCUCCACGGAACAAAGGGGGAGCUGCUGCUGGAUGUUGUGUGGCAUCCAGUUCGACCAAUCAUAGCGUCUAUAUCAAGUGGUUUGGUGUCCAUAUGGGCACAGAAUCAAGUGGAAAACUGGAGUGCGUUUGCUCCGGAUUUCAAGGAGCUGGAUGAGAAUGUGGAGUAUGAAGAGAGGGAAUCGGAGUUUGACAUUGAGGAUGAGGACAAAGAGAAGGAGGAGACUAAAGGUAUGGAGGAAGAGGAUUCAGAGGUGGAUGUGACCACUAUUGAACCCAUACAGGCAUUUGUGAGCAGUGAUGAGGAUGAAGAGGACCAGGAUGCUGUACUUUACCUUCCUGUUUCACCUGACAUUGAGGAGCCUGAGGAGUCAGCCCCAUACAGACAAUACCCCCUCCCCCAAGAAAAAGAAAGUCAAAACCUAUGAAGUGGAUCUCCCAGAUGCCCCCCUAGAUGAAAUUCACCCCCUGUUAAAUGUGAAGAAACCAAAUGAAAAGGGACAGAAGAAGUCAAGUCGUCCAAAGCAGGCCAAAUCUUCCAAGCCGGACAAAUCCAAGAGCAAGGGCCGUUUAGACGACAUGUACGGAGCAGCUUCUUUCUCCUGGUCAUGAGAUUUUUCAAGAAGGGACAAGACACAUGUUCAGCAAACUGAGGCAGCCAUAUUAGAAAGUUUAUCUACAUUGUAUUUAAUAUAUCAAGCAUCAAUCAGGCAUAAAUACAGAUCAUGUUCAUGUUACUCUGUAGCUGUUAACUUUAUACACUGCAUGUACAUGUAGUGAAACAUACUGAAAAUAAAGUUCUCAUGCUUUU